rnacentral:lncRNA from 1 species
UCAAGGUUUACAUUAUCCUUUCACACUUUCAGUUCAAUUAUUAGUUAGGAAGGGGAAGGAAAAGAAAAGUUUUAGUUGGCUUUAUGAUGGUUGCCAGGAAACAUACAAAGGCAUCAGAAACAAAUGAAACAAACAACUCCACAUUGCUGGGAAGGUGGGUUUCUGUCGACAGCGCCUCAUUGGAGCUGCUUCAUCUAAUGCCCCCUUGACAAAAAAACGGAAUUGAAAACGACAUGUUAAUGUAAGCAAGUUUAACCAAAGAGAUUUUGAAAAGUUGCUUUUCUAAUGCAUUUAAAAGAGGAUCUGAAGGUGUUUCAGUAUCAAUUGCUAUAAACUUGGGGGGAGGUUCACACAUUUUUAACCAUGCCAUUUGUAACCGUAGAAGAUAAGCAGGGGGAUGGUAGAUUUUGGAAAUGAACUAUAGAAACAAAUAAUGGGGGGGGGGAUUUCUUUUCUUAGCUUAGCUUAAGCAUUUUGCCUCCUAAUUUCAUUGUCAGAAAGGUUUGUAGUUUCAUUCUGGGAUUCUGUUGCUAAGUUGUGUUUCUUUUCAAAGGCAUCUGUUGAAGAAAAUAAAACAAAAACAUAGGAAAGAGGUGAAAGCUACUGAAAAGAGGUGAAGCUAUUAUGAGUUGCCAGAAUUCUGCACCUGAAUUAAAUAUGGGGCCCAAGCCCGGGCCAGGAAUCCCUGAGAAAAUAGCAGGUCUAAAUGCGGACAAAGACUGUGGCACAGGCCUGCUUGAAAACCACCUUGAAGUGAAUGAUUUUUUAAAAAUACAGAGGGCUUUUGAGAUGGAUCCAGAACAUCUUCCAGGAAUCCCGGCUCGGUGGCCCUCGCAGUGUGUCCACCUAGACCAUUUGCUGACCUAUUCAGAAUUGGGCCCCCCGGAUUGCAGACAAACAAGGAGACACCAGACACUCACCGGUCAGCCUCAACGCUCCAGUAUGGAGAUCCUGGGGUCUUGGGGAUCCUGGACGAGCCCCCAAAUGUUGUGCCCAGAUCACGAGGUCCCCAAAGACCACCAAGGAGCCGAUUCCGAUGCAAACACAUGAGGGUCAUUUAUUCAAGCUCGAGCAGGGACUCUCAUCCGACACUGACGCAGCAGGUCAGGGUUGAGAGCCCCGACUCUAAAACACCAGAGGUUUUUAUACAGGUUACAGCAAGGCGUGGGGUUUCAAAAAGGCGCAGGGUUUCAAAUCACACACAAAUCACACAAUUGGCUAGCAUUUAGCAAGUUUUGAAAGUUUAAACCUAAUUGGUUGGGCCUUGUGCGCUGAACUGCAAAUGGCUGCUCAAGUCAUUGAAAAGAACAUCUUGGAUACUGGGGUAUUGGGGUAACUACUGAUUAGCUGUUUCAGGCCAUCGAGAAGAGCAUCUGGGACAUUGAGGUAGCUACCAACUAGCUGUUGCUAGGCUAGUUGCUAGGGGACUGCUGAACAUUAUCACAGGCAGGUGGCCGAAGUGCAUCUUGUGGUUUUUCUUGGAACUAGAAUUUAUGUCCAGGCCACCUUACUCUAAAAUGGGGCCAAAAUUUUAAAAUGGAGUCACUCAGGUCUCACAGUUUACAUUCCCACCAACAAUGAAGAGGCUUCCUUUUCCACCACAGCCUCACCAGAAUUUGUUAUUGUUUGAUUUCUUAAUGAUUGCCAUUCUUUCUGGGAUAAGACAGAAUCUUAGUGUUACUUUAAUUUGCAUUUCUCUGAUGGCCAGAGCUGUUGAACAAUUUCUAUACAUUUGUUGACCAUUUGUAUUUCUUCCUCUGUGAUGUUUCUGUUCAUUUUUCUUGCCCAUUUCUUGACUGGAUCUUUAAUUUUAGGUGAUUUAAUCUUUUUGAGUUCUUUGUAUAUUCUAGAUAUUAGUCCUCUGAGGAGUAGCUGGCAAAAAUUUUUUCCACUUCUGUAGGUUGUCUCUUCACUCUGCCAAUUGAUUCUUUUGCUGUACAGAAGAUUUUUAGUCCAAUAUAAUCCCAUUUGUUGAUUCUUACUGUUAUUGCUUGUGCAAUUUGGGUUCUGUUUAGAAAAUCCUUUUAUAUACCUGUAUGUUUAAAUGUUUACCUAUUUUAUUUUCAAGUUUAAUGGUUCUGUUUUAAUGUUGAGACCUUUGAUACAUUUUGAUUUAGUAUAUGGUGAGAAAUAAGGGUCCAGUUUAAAUCUUCUGUACACAGAUAACCAGUUUUGCUAGUACCAUUUGUUGAAUAGGCUGUCUUUCCUCCAACAUGUUUUUGGCCCCUUUUUCAAAGAUAAAAUAGCUGAAUGUGUUUGGGGAAGUUUCUGUAUCCUUAAUUCUGUUCCAUUGAUUCACAUUUCUGCUUAAGGCAACCUUGCUUUAGGGUAUUGUUUUAAAGAAGGAGAACCAAAUAACAUAAAGACUUCAUUAACAACACAAGAAUGUUAUCAGUAUUCAGGCUCUGUGUUCUGCUAACUUGGAGUUAAAACAUAAUCAUCAAGUAAUCAACUAUCACAAUAAAAUCAAGCUAAGAAAACUGUUGAAAAUAAGAAGAUGAGAAUAACCUAUUGCUUUAAAAUUAUCUUUUCCUUUCUAAAAGCAUCUCAAUAGAGAUGUGUAAGAAAGUAAACAGGUAAACCUGAAUUUAUAAUUCAAUUCUAUGAUACAAAGUAUAUUUACUAGCCUUAAUCAAUUUAUCACCUGCUAAACAGGUCAAUAGGUCAGUGCAUCCUCACCAGUUCCUUAAUGGAAUCAAAAAACAUGUCAUUGAUGGCAGUAGAGAAUUGAUAGAGCUCUGCAGGUCCCCCUCCUUAAAAUUAAAGUAAUAGUGUAAAGUCAAAUCUGAUAUCACCACAGCUGGGAUAAUUGGAAUUGGCAAAGGAAUUCUAUUGUUUGAUUUGUUAAAAUUUCUGGGCGGUAAGAAAAAAUGGUGUCAUCACCAAAAUUCAAGAAACUGCAGUUGCUUGUCAGUACAAAUAAAAACUGCCUUCUGAAGUGCUGCUUUUAGCAUUUGGGAGGACAAGUGCUGAACUGUGUGACAAGUUCUAACAGCUUCAUGCCUUUUCCAAUUUCUCUGUGUACUUUUGUAACAGAUGCUUCAAAUAAAAAUCUGGAUCAGAGGAGGGGAUGUUGAGUGCUUUCGGUAGGCAAAUGCUUUAACCUUGAGCUUUGGCCAGGAUUGGAACAGAGAAGGUAACUCAGAAAAACCUUGUUAUAAAGGUGGAAAAAGGAAGCAAAUGUCACCGUUGUUGAUUAUGUGAAAUGCAUCUUAGCUGGACCUGUAGACCAAGGGGGUCUCUUCAAAAUUUGCUGAGGAACAGACAGGAAAAAUGAAGAAAAUAGACAAUGAAAGAUCUGAUUUGUGCCAUUUGUAUGUCACAUUUGUUGUGUUUUACCAACUAUGGUGUAUCAAUAAUGAAAUAAGAUACCACCAAGUAUUUCUAGAAAUAGGAAGACUCCAAAUUGUCCCCUGGUGAUUUGUGAUUUACCCCAAGGCCCCAUCUCACACUUGCUCAGGGCCAAAUCCUGGGGUCUUUUCUCACAAGCACCGCCCAUAUUUCAUGUGCUUAGUAGACACAUGUGGCCAGUGGCAGUCAUAUUGGACUGAAGAGAAUAUAAAACAUUGUCAUCAUGGAAGAAAGUUCUAUUGGACAUGCUGCUUUAGACCUUUCUUCCUCAUACUUCCCUACUACUUUGUUCUGCUUGCUUUCUUCAGGCCACACUUACAUGACUAAGGAGGUAUUCUUAGCUCUUCAAUCCCCUGGAAAUGAACCAGACCAUUCAUGCCUGAGAAUUUAUAGGCCAAAUUGAUUCUUGGCCCAGAGAUAGCAGAAAAUAUUAUCUCUAAACCUAGUCUAAGAAUUGUUUUUCCAUGUUUCAUAGGACUAUGGAGAAUGGGAACUUCAAUUCCUUUCAGGGGAAAUACUUCUUUCCCAGUCUAUACCAUUGUAACUCCAGUCACACAGGUGUUUAGUGUGGAUUUAUGGUUCCAAAAAGUCAGUGACAUAAUUAUUUGAUGUAGGAUCAUUAUCUAAAGUGUUUCAGUCAUAUCAAUCCUAUUUUAUUUUCAUUUUCCAGUUUUAUGGCUUACCAAGUGCUGGUACCUUAGUUUAGAAUAAGCCCCAACAAUUUUCCAUCUAAUUUAUAGGAAUUAUAGGUCUGGAA